rnacentral:tRNA from 1 species
UGAUCCAGUGGUUAGGACUCUGCACUUCCACUGCAGGGGUCCUAGGUUCUAUUCCUGG